rnacentral:rRNA from 1 species
GAUGAACGCUGGCGGCGUGCCUAAUACAUGCAAGUCGAGCGAACGGACGAGAAGCUUGCUUCUCUGAUGUUAGCGGCGGACGGGUGAGUAACACGUGGAUAACCUACCUAUAAGACUGGGAUAACUUCGGGAAACCGGAGCUAAUACCGGAUAAUAUUUUGAACCGCAUGGUUCAAAAGUGAAAGACGGUCUUGCUGUCACUUAUAGAUGGAUCCGCGCUGCAUUAGCUAGUUGGUAAGGUAACGGCUUACCAAGGCAACGAUGCAUAGCCGACCUGAGAGGGUGAUCCGCCACACUCGAACUGAGCUACGCUCCAGACUCCUACGGGAGGCAGCAGUAGGGAAUCUUCCGCAAUGGGCGGAAGCCUGACGGAGCAACGCCGCGUGAGUGAUGAAGGUCUUCGGAUCGUAAAACUCUGUUAUUAGGGAAGAACAUAUGUGUAAGUAACUGUGCACAUCUUGACGGUACCUAAUCAGAAAGCCACGGCUAACUACGUG